rnacentral:rRNA from 1 species
GACGAACGCUGGCGGCGUGCCUAAUACAUGCAAGUAGGACGCAGUUGCGAACGGGUGAGUAACGCGUAGGUAACUACCUAUUAGAGGGGGAUAACUAUUGGAAACGAUAGCUAAUACCGCAUACUAGUAGAUGGACCUGCGUUGUAUUAGCUAGUAGGUAGGGGAAUGGCCUACCUAGGCAACGAUACAUAGCCGACGUGGGAGGGUGAGCCGCCAAAGUGGGACUGAGACACGGCCCCGACUCCUACGGGAUGCAGCAGUGGGGAAUGUGCGGCAAUGGGGGGAACCCUGACCGCGCAACGCCGCGUGAGUGAAGAAGGUUUUCGGGUCGUAAAGCGCUGUUGUUAAGGAAGCGGUACUUAACCAGAAAGGGACGGCUAACUACGUGCCAGCCGCCGCGGUAAUUC